CUCAAACCAGCUGUAUUAAGGAAGGUGCAAGCUUUUGGGAUUUCUGUUUGGAUUUAGUUUAGGUUCAAAAGAGCACGCACAGAUCCUGAGUGUUGUCAAGCACCCGUGACUGGGAAACGGAGGCGUCCGAUCCGUAUUGGAGUCAAUUCGCCACUUAAUUGGACACAGCCUCGAAGGGAAGGGCCAUAUUUGUGGGCCUGUCUAACAAUUAAGAGUGACCACAUGGAAUGGGGGAUGAAAGGGUUAAAGAAGAACAAAUAUUGAACACAGCUUUUCUAUGAACAAACUGCAGGCAGCUGCUGCUUUGCAAGGGGAACUUCUUGGCUGCCAUUUCUGGAUGUCAAGGCUGCAGAUACACUGGUCAGGACCCUGGGUAGAGAGAGAUGCGUCAGAAUGCGGCUCCUUUCAGAAAGGCUUCUCCGGAGGUUGGUGAGGUCAGCUGACUACUAGAAGACAGAUCUAUUUGAAGAUUUUUGUGGUGGUCUUUACUACUCCAGAGAUUUACAGCUGAUGAAAAAUGGAGAAGUACAUGACCCUACCCUGCUGUUGGACAUGCUACCCAAGGAUCAUGACUGACAACUUGUCAACAUCACUAUUGCUUAUUUAAUAAAUGUGCAGUACUACUUCAAUAAACCUGGAAUCAUAAAAUUUUAGAGAACAAACCUUAAAUUACAUCAAAACCCUUUGAAAAGAUUCAGCACGUUGCCAUGGAGAACAUCCCACUGAAGGAAUGUAUAGAAGUAGCAGGGUUAACUGAGUGCCUUCCAUCUUCCCUCCAAGGGAUCUGCAAUGAGAUGGGAGAAGGCAACAGGCUGUGUGGGAACCACUGAAGCUGGGAUGGCAGGGAAAGAACAUCUUAGGCUAACUCUUCAAGCCUUGCUGUCACAUUUGCUUUUGAGUCUAUGGUGUCAGCUGCCUACCAGUUGCUUUCAUCUCUAGAAAUCUGUGACUUGCAGUAUGACAAGAACAAAAGGUGACAAUACAAAGGACAAAGGGCAAGGAAUACAGACGGAGAAGCCGCUUAGAGUCUAGGAUGGCAGAGGUUCUCUUGAUCAUUUCAUUUUUGAGCGCUUGUAGAGCUUUGGUGUACCAGAGGUGCUUGAACAGCUUACCACACCACAGAUGAAUGGCCUUUGGAUUUCUCCUAAGAAAAUGGGGCUACCUGAAAUUCAACUCCAUUUUCUGGUCUUCAAUAUUUCUUUUGUGUUCAGUUUGCCAGCUGAGGAGAAGUGGCUAAGCAUAGCCUGUUACUGAUGCUAAAGCCCAAGUUCUGAACCUAACAACUCCAGCAACAUGAUCCUGUUUCAAGAGACAAAAAAGUGACUAAUGAAAGAAAACAAUUGAUGUGCUAUGUAGAGUUUAAAAGAAGGUAAAGAGAAUAAAUUAAAAGCAACAACUCUCU
rnacentral:lncRNA from 1 species